rnacentral:rRNA from 1 species
AGCAUGUGGUUUAAUCGAAGCAACGCGAAGAACCUUACCAGGUCUUGACAUCCCCUGACAACCCGAGAGAUCGGGCGUUCCCCUUCGGGGGACAGGGUGACAGGUGGUGCAUGGUUGUCGUCAGCUCGUGUCGUGAGAUGUUGGGUUAAGUCCCGCAACGAGCGCAACCCUCGACCUUAGUUGCCAGCAUUCAGUUGGGCACUCUAAGGUGACUGCCGGCUAAAAGUCGGAGGAAGUGGGGAUGACGUCAAAUCAUCAUGCCCCUUAUGACCUGGGCUACACACGUGCUACAAUGGGCGGUACAAAGGGUCGCGAACCCGCGAGGGGGAGCCAAUCCCAAAAAGCCGCUCUCAGUUCGGAUUGCAGGCUGCAACUCGCCUGCAUGAAGCCGGAAUCGCUAGUAAUCGCGGAUCAGCAUGCCGCGGUGAAUACGUUCCCGGGCCUU